rnacentral:lncRNA from 1 species
AAGUCGCCAGUGGUUGUGUCUUGCAUAUGAUUUCUAGCAUGUACGACUUCUAAUUUGUUGAAAUGCCAGACAGUUUGAACUUGGCAGAGUGAUAUUGGUUGCAUCUUUCAUAUUGGUUGCAUAAUUCAUAUUGACUACUACUGCUAAGCCAGUUGAAGUCCCAAAUCUACAUAAUGAGUUCAUCUCCCAUACUCCACCAUAGCAGGUGCUUGCUCUAAGUUGACAGUGUGAUAAUUGGUUCCAUGUUGCAUAUGUUGUCUAGCCUGUAUUUCUUCUAUUUUGAUUAAAUUGCAUCUGUUGAGUUUAUACGUUAUACGUGUGCAUAUGACAUGCCUUUCUAUGUCUAGAAUACACUGCAUCUAUCUAUCAUACCAUGUUCUUACAUCAAAGUGCCGCUGUUGUGUAUCCCACAUCAGUCACUCAUGAUUGGACGCUCUUAACAUGGCAGUUUGAUAGUGGUUGCAUCUUGCAUUGAUUUCUAUGUUGUACUGCUUCUAAUUUUUUGAAAUGCCACUUAUGACAAGACACUUUUAACUUGGCGGAGUGAUAUUGGUUGCAUCUUUCAUAUGGUGUCUACCUUGCAUUACUUCUAUUUUCUUGAAAAUCCUUCUACUUAGUUUACACAUCGUAGCUGUGAAUAUGUCACGUCGUCCUGUUUUUCUUACAUAUUCCAUCCUCAUACGGUUGUCUUACAUCAAAGUAUUGCUUGUCUGUAUCAUGCAUCGAUGAGUUCUGAAGAGCGAUUUUAUUCUUUUGUGUUGUGGGUACGGCUUGACAUGGCAAAGUCAAAAAAGAGCAAGGAAAAGAAUAUAGUAGGGAAUGGUGUUACUCGUCGGGUGAAACGAAAAAGGAUCUGCCCUCGAGAUUUUGCUGGUACUUAUAGUGCAGUAUAAGGUCCAUAUCUACCGGCUAAAUCUACAAACAUAGUAUCACCUGCCCCACCAGCUGCAGGAUCCGCUUCAACUGUACUGGCAUCUCAAUGAGUUACUCGUUCGUUUGCUCCGGAACUGGCCAGUUCCCAAGCUGCCUUCACACCUAACACUACUUCCUAAGCACUACUGACACAACAGGACUUGGCAAGAUCAGAUGAACCUCAUGAGCAUCAACACCAAGACGGUACCUGACCGAGUCAAGUUGUAGUUGCAUGCUCCUUUAUAUGCACUCUCAUAGUUUGAUGUGCACUAACACUUUCCAUAUUCGUUGUUGAACUAGCACCACGGCGCAAGUGGAAACAGACAUUAGGGAUAAUGCUUGACAGAUUAACAAAAUCUAAAGGAGGAAGAAUGGAGAUCCAUUUUAAGGCAGGUUUAAAAAGGCCACGUGAUGCUACAUAGUCAGCCAAGUUAGUAUCAGAGGAAGCCGUUGCCGUUAGGUGUCAUGCACAUAUCCUCCCAACGUGGAUCUAGUACAGGAAUGAGAAAGACAAUCCCAGUUUAACACCUUCCUUGACCAUUUAUUCGUAAGUAAUGUUAUUCGUUGCAAUUUGUAAUAUUGUCUUGCUCUGUCCCAUACUUUCUAGCUUCCUCCUAAUAAGACUCACAUUCUUUUUUCAACAGGUGAGGUUCAAGUUGGAUCCGGAAGAUGAUGCAACUAAACAAGCAUGCACUCAUGUUUUCCAGUCUGCUCUGCGACAGUAUCGGUACCACCUUAGAAAAGCUCACUUUGAAGGCAAGGCUAACAAUGAAAUCGCCCAAACAUCUCCAGUGGAAUAUAUUACACAUGAAGACUAGACAACCCUUGUUAAACACUGGUCUGAUCCAAAGUAUCAAGUAGGGUAUAUGUAUUUGAUCAGACCACAUAUUGAACUUGUAUUUAUGUAUGUGCCUUACAAGUGUAUCUUCUUCUAGGCUAACUGUUUGAAGAACAAGACCAACUGUUCUAAGUGAAAUUCCAACAGACAACGGGAUCUUGUAGCUAUAUUGCACAAUGCGAGGCUCUUGUAAAUAGCUGCUAGUUCCUUCUUUUUUCUGUGCCAUACUAUCGUAUCUAUAUUGACUUGUUCCAAAUACAGAGGAAAGCCCAUGGACCAAAAAGAACCUGAACCGAAUGUAGUGCAAAUCUUCAAGGAUUGCCACACAAGUGUGAUGAAGGGCAUGAGCACACUAGUUCAAGCCGCUGUCGUAAGUCCUUACUCCUCCUGCCUUUGAACUGAUUGGUACUAUAAAAUGAUGUGUUCAUUUAACUGCUUGGUUUGAAGCCAAUGCCAGUUACUAUGUUCACUUUUAUACACAGUUGUCUUAAUGUAUCAUUUCACCUUACAUGGUUUAAAGAGAUGAAUGAUAUUCUUUUGGUCUUGAUAUGUAAUCUAGUUGUGAUAUUCACGUGGCCACACAAUGAUACAAUAGCCUGUUUGUUUUAUAUCUGUUUGCCCAUGAUAUGAAUGAUGUCAUACUAUGUUCAUCCUACUUUAAACCAUGUCUCUUUAUCCUUAGAUGUCCACGAAUGUGAGGAAAUAGACAAUACAGUAGGCAUGCUACAUGGACAUAUGUUCCGAAAGUGAUUUUAUUGUGUAGUUGGCACUACAAUAUAUGUUAAUGUAUUACAGUAGUUCACCAAAAUAAGUUAUGUAUAAACGUGAAACCUACUUUGUUUGUUUUGUCUCAUUAGUAACUUAUCUGGUACACUAAUCUACAAGUUCAAACUUUCAGCAAGUUAUGGAACAAAUGAUUCAACAACCACAACCACCUGAAGGUGACGAGGCUACCACAGGCACAAUGUGACCUCUUGCUGCAGUGCAUCAGUAUCUCUCCAGUAACAGUGAAAAAAGCACCUUCCUGCGUAAUUCUGGGUUGGUUGUCAAGGUAACCUCGUCCAAAUCGCCUACUGAACAAAAUCUUCCGGUUAGACAGAGUGAUAUAUCUGUGCUUCAGACACAAGUCCAAUCCCUAAUGGACGCCAUUUCGGAGACAAGAAUAGUGGUUGACAAAUGUCGUCAAGAUAUGAAUGGUUUUGAAACCAGACUAUCAGACAUUUGCUUCAUUGUUCAAGAGCAAUGGCGGAAAAAGGGGAAGAUCAUGCUACUCCAUCAGAUUCUACAGCCUGAAACAUUAGCACUCAGGUCAAAUGAUCUGUGCUUCUAUACAUUUGAUGGUGCUUUUAUCUGCAAGGACUGUAAACUUUAUGCCAACAGGCCUUUUGUUGUAUGGUUGGAAUUUAUUUUGUUGUGAUACAACAUUUAUGGUGCUGCCAAAGGCUGUAGAAAUAACGACGCUAUUUUUGUAUAGUGUAGGUUUAUCUUAGUAAUGUAUUCGGACAAAAGCUGCAUAGGAGCCCAAUGUGCCAACAUUCAUCGGGCCCAUUCCAAUUGGGCUAAAAACAAUUAUGGGCCGACAUUUGCAUGUAGCCCACAAAAAAUAUCUAGGCCUAAAUCAGUAUAGGCUUUCAUAUUUUUUGGUAGGCCUGUGCCCACAGUGGGCCUUUAACAGGCCUAAUCAUAAUUUGGGCCCCCGGUAACAAUAGGCCGUUUACAUGUGUAAAUAUCUCGAGCCCAUAAAAGCAAGGGCCUUUGAUAGGCCGAAAGUGAGAUUGGGCCCUGAUUGUGCCAAAUAACCCACUGGUCAUUAACAGGCCGAAAUGAAUCUUAGCUCGUGGUGGCCCAUUUACAAUGCGGAUCAUUUAGGGCCGAAAUUCAGACGGGUCGUAAAUGCACCGACCUACUACACGGACCUUUAACAGGCCGGAAGUUCAGUCGGGCUUGAUUAGUGUCAGUUUUAUAUGGGCCGUUAAUAGGACCGAUGUGACAUUGGGCCACAUAUGGCCCAUGGAGUUCAUCCGACGUUAACAGGCCAAAAUCACAACAUGAUGAAAGUGGCCCAAAUCCACAGUGGGCCUCUAACAGGCCGAAUGUCAGACAUGACCGAAUAUGACCCAAAUCCUUCACAGUCGUUUAUGGGCCGAAAGUUCCAAUGGCCGAUAAAUGGUCCCAAAUGAAGCAGGACCUUUAACAAGCCAGAAACACGUCGGGCCGUAAUUCGGCCAAAAUACUUAGCGGACUGUUAACGGGCCAGAAGUGACCAUGGGCCGCGAUGAUGACAAGUUUAGGACAGGCCGUUGAUGGGCUGAUUUGACACUAGACAUACGGGCCUUAACUACGAAUGGGUCGUCUGCAAGCAGGCCGUUAAUGGGACGGCCCGCUAAUUUUGACUGGAACAACCUUUUUAACCAAAAUGGGCCGCUAUUGGGCCUUGCCACAUAUCGACGUACCAUAGGCGCCUCCUGUCCAUUGGGAGAUUGACAUCUGUCCUUUCGUGGUGCUGACACGUGGUUGCUAUAGCCAAUGAUAAUUUCACACGUGGAAAAUCCUCAUUGGUCCCAUCUAUUAACGGGUUAUCGAAUCCAAACCGGAACCCGAUAGCUUAACAGUGACCCAUUACGGUGGAUGCCAUGUGUCGGUUACCCUUAACGAAAGCACUUCUAUGACGCAUGAUUUAUCGUCAUGGAAGUGGACACUUCCGUGAUGAUAAUUUUGGUAAUGUCAUGGAACACGUCUACGACAGCACAGGUAUGACUAUCUUGAUUCUAUCAUAAAAUCGUCAUGGGUGUACAUGCAUGACAAAAAACGUGACCUACUGCGACAAACACGUUUCAUCACGGAAGUGUAUUUUUGUAGUGUACCAAGAGAAAAUAGGAUACCAAAUGGAGAAAUCGUCACUUGAAAGAUAUCAUUAAAAGAUACAUCAAGGAAUGAGAUAUCCAUUGAUACACACUAUGAAAACAUAUCAAACUCCCAAAAGAGAGGAAGGUUCCAAACAAACCAAAUUCUCUACAAAGUUUCAUGAUGGCACAAAGUAUCAAAAAGAAAUGGCUUGCCUUCCACCGAUGAACACUUGAUAAGGAUCACAAGAUGAGUGUUCUAAAGAAACUAGGAUAGCUCCCCCAAGAGAUGUGCAACAAAGAGAAUUUGCAUUAGAAAACAAAAUGCACAAGAUGGGAUCACCACUUUCACUAUAACUAGAACACCACUAGACAAGAUCAAGAAAUAAACAAGAUCCACAAGUGGCAUGGAAGACAUCGGGAGUUGACACAUUCCUUGGCAAGAUAUAAGGGCAAAUAAAAAUAAGAGCCAAGGUAAAGAUGAUCAAUAAAUACCACCGCACAUAAGUGAGUACCAAUUGUCAAGAGACAAGAAGUAUUUGGAAAUAAUUCCCGGUGGUAGAUAGAAACGAUAUCCGGCAUCAUAUUCACACCAAACACAUGAGUAAAUUGCAACUUGUAGAGCUAACAUGCCACCUAGGAACAAGAUAAUCUACAAUAUCAACUCUAGUUGACAAUAUCUCAAAUUUACACAUUUUCUAGGCUUGUAAUAUACACAUAACAUAUUACUCCCCCAUAAUGUGAUACCAAUGAAAACUUACAAGAUGGAAAUAAAAAGCAACCAAGAGAUAAUUAAUGGACCAUUUUGAAUUUGAAUUUUGUCGGAUCUCGGGUUCCGGCAAAACCCUCAAGGUUCGAACACUUGGGUGCGCGCGAAGAUCUUCCCCUACCAGUCCACGUCCUAGCUUCGCUAAGAUCUCAAGGGAAAACUCAAUGAACUCGCAACACAAAGGACACAAGAUUUAUACUGGUUCGGGCCACCAUUGUGGUGUAAUACCCUACUCCAAUGUGGUGGUGGUGGAUUGCCUCUUGGGCUAGGGAUGAACAGUACAAGGGGGAAGAACAGCCUCCUGAGCCGAGGUGUUCUUGUGCUUGGUGGGUGUGAGGAUGAACUGAAUGAGUUCAGCCCCCUCCUACUGUGGUGGCUAAUCCUAUCUAUAGAGGCCCCGAUCCUCUCCCUAAAUAUUGAGCACGAAGGGAGCCAACAACGGCCAAUUUGAAAGGGGAUAGCUAGUACAACUUAUCCUAACAAAAGCAGUCUUCGCCUGCAAAAGGCUCUGGUGGUGACGCCGCCUUGGGCUCCAUGGUGACCUCCGUCUUGCCGUCUUGCUGGUCAUGGUCUUGUUGCACUGAUAUGGAAACCUUUGCUUGACGCCUUGGUACUCCGUGCCUGCGCUUGCUUCCUUAGCACCAAAGAGGAAACAAGGACACUAUGCGCGCUGGCGCCCGCCUGAUCUUGAUCAUCAUGGCUCACGUCAUUGGAACCUCAUGAGGUUUGCCUUGCCUUGAACUCUCCGCCCCUUGCGAGCCAGCCUGGUGAGGGUUCUCCCGAGGAGGUCUUGUGUCAUCCACCUCGCGAGGCUUGGCCCCUCGCAAGGGUCUUGAGUGCUUGUUGGUGAAGAUGGGCCGUACGGGCCCGCUCGCAAAGCCACGCCGUGGGCCGCAGGCAGGAAAGUCUGGGGACCCCCAUUCCCAAAACACCCACAGUAGCCCCCGGGCCCAAGGCGUGCUCGGGCUUAGCUUCGAGGCGAAGCCAAAGGUCAAGUGCGGACCCACGGGCCCCAAUAGCCUGCAGCCUUGGUCGACGCGUGGCGGUUGAUUGGACGUGGGUGCCUCCUCUUCCUCAUGCUGCCUCGGCAACUGCCCGACUUGACAAGUCCAUGUGACAUGCAAGGAAAAACCAUCAUUACCUGUGAUCGUGGGGGGCGCUGGUUGGCCUUCUCCUACUAUAAAUGGGAGGGGGGCAGAGCCCCCAUCGCCCAUCUCUUCUUGUUUCGCUUGCUUCUCCCUCCUCGCGUCGUUGCCCAUCUGAAGGUUUUCCACGGCGGAGGAAGGAAAGACUCCCCUCGACGGGCGGGUACCACUCCCGCCGAAGAAGAGGCUGACCCACCGCCGCGACAAGGCGACGAUGCAGGUGGUGACAAGGCCUUGGUGCGAGCGGCCGCCUCCCGGGUAUCCGUUACCCCUGUACGCCCAAGCCGGGGGCUCAGGAGGGAGAGUCGACGAGCGUCAGCGCGCGCGCCGUGGCCAUGGUCGCCGUGCCGCGGUGGCACGCGUCGCCGCCCCUGGAGUCCACACCACAAACUCCUCGCGCGAGUUCGUGCUGUGGGCGGCGAUGCCCUCGAGCACUUGGAUCCGCUUCGCUUCCUUCUUCUUAGCCGAGAUGCCACCGAGGGGGCCCCUCGAGCUUUGGCUACAGCACGCCGACUGCGACACGCCGGCGACUGGAGCGGAGGUUGAGGCCGUCUCCUCGGGGAAGAUCUUCAUGACCUCAGGCUUGGGUGAGGUCGCCCAAGUGUGUCGUGCGAAAGGCGCUCUUGCGAUCCGCUUCGUGUACGAUGGUGCCUCCAUGCUGUUCUUCAAGGUCUUCGACACAGAAGGCCACCGUCUGGAGUGUUCCCCAGGUGGGGUCAUCAGGCUGGCGCCACAGUUGGGGCAGGGUCUGCUACCCGCGUCGCUAGCGGCUCCUCUGGUAGCAGCGGCAACACUUGGGAGUCCGGUGAUUCUCCCGAGCUCUAUGAGACUCCGGAGAUGAGCGACGAUAGCUACGUGCCCCCAACCUCCCGCCGAGCCCGGAGCAGGGCUGCAGCGUUAGGCCGCCGCCGCUGAUCUGGAUGAGGUUGGCGCCGGCCUCUGGUGGCCCACUGUUGAUGAUGGCGUCAUCCACAGGGGCACGUGUAGUUAGGAUUCCCUAAGUUCUUGCCUUUUGUUCCCUGCGAGGAAUCAAGUAAUGCCCCAUGGGGGUGUGUAAAGGUUUUGUAAUGCCUCUUGUCAAUAUUGUCCUCAGUAUGAACUUGCGCGAGUCCUACUUCAGCUCGGUCUCCCUUUCCGACCUCGCGACGACUUGGCGCUCUAUGCUGACAGGUCCUGGUCCCCAGGCAGGCUGCAGCCGUCGCUAGUAUGCCAGGUCGCGUGCCGUGGUCAAGGCCAGGAGGUGAGCGGCCUGAGGUUUAGUAAGAGUUCCUGAGGCGCGAUGCUCAGGAGGCCCCCUUUAGUGCUCAAGCAGCCGCCGAGAGGUAAGAAAUGGGGGUGACGUUGCUGCAGCAGGGCUGCAGUUAGUAUGGUUCUUAGUCCUUAGCGGUUUAGCCAACCCAGGCUCGGGACUUAUCUUGACGGUCCAGAGUUGAUUCCUCAUGAUGCGCCAGAUUCGUGCAUAGGCGUCUGGAGCAUAGCUAAGCCAGGCCCAUGCGAGCCUCCCCCUUCUCCACGCUCUCCUUCGUGCUCUGUGUCCUCAGGUCCCGGCCCUCGAGCGAGCUCAGCCGCCGCUGGUAUGCCAGAUCAUGUGUCAUGGUCAAGGCCAGGGGGUGAGGGCUGGAGAGCCAGUAACAGCUCCUAAGUCGCGAUGCUCAGGAACCCCCCUUUUAACGCGCAAGCAGAUUGCAUGGGAGAAGAAGGAGCUCGCGGUCCCGCCUGCCAUCGCCUUUAGGAGAUUCCUGCAAGCCAGCACAAGGAGAGACACAGUUUUCCAUUACAGUUGCUGGCCCGCCGCUGGUCGCUCCGCGAGGAGAUGAAGGCACUGAGGGCCUGGUGAGGUGACAUGCGUGGGGCAUGCCGUGAGCCAGAGCUCAACCGCUCAGGUUUGUCGACGUUGCAAGGACGGACCCGAGCAGAAGCAUCGUGCCAGCGUGAGUAGCCCCUGUGGCGGGUGAGAAUCAAGCAGGUGAUGGUCAUAGGUAGAUUAAGCAUGGAAAGCAAACUGGCUUAGGUAAAUGCAUGAAUGAUACGCGCCACUGGGUCCGGCCCGAGCGGCUUGGGGAUGAUGCAGCCCGAGGGGCGCCCCCAGCAAGGUAAGCUAAAGACAUAAAAAAGAAGGGAUACAUGCCACAUGGACGGACCCAUGCAGCCUGGGAAUAAUGCAGCCCCCUGGGCUCUCCCAGCUAAAUGACCUUGGAAAAUGUCACCCGGUUCCAUUAAUGAAGGGGUGUUGAGGCAGCUGAAGGUACGCGGCGAAGGGGUUGCCCCUCAUGAGCCACCAGGGCCCUGAUCCUCAGGAGGCCCUAGGGAUCCAAGCGGUUCCUUGAGGACCGUCUCCAUCUCCAUUAGGACGGCGUGGUGCCUGGCCUCCUGACCCACCAUGACGCUCCACAGGUUGCGCUGGAAGGCAGCAGCCACACUCGGCAGGCCGAACGGCAAACGAACAUAGCUGUGAGGUGGACCUUCGUAGAGCCCAACACACGAAGGCCAGAAGCGCUCAUGAGAUGCGACUCGGUUGAGCCCUGGUAUGUCGAUGCAGACGUGCAGCUCACCACCCUCGCUUGGGUGGGGAGCAACGCCAGGUGGGCGGCGGUCGCCGCGUAUUGAUCUUGCUUCCUGAAGCUCCUGAGAUACCUUGGUGAUGAACUCCUGAGCGCCGGGUGCUCCUUGCCCAUUGUCCUCCUGAGGGAGACGUCCCGCGAAACACGCCUCCAAGUGGUGCCCGAGCACCUCCCACGUGACGUUGGCAAGGUCUGAGGUCGUCUAGAAGAGAGCCCCCGAGCCCUGCCCGGGGAGGGCGCCAGGCGCGCCUUCCUAUGCGACAGAGGGAGGCGCCCCAGGUGCGGGCGCUGAUCCUAACGAGGUGCCACUUGCGGCGCUACCCUCCUUCGGUCCGACACGGAGUAGCUGCUUCUUCUUCUUGGGGACGACCUCAGGAGGGUACCGAGCUGCAUUGUUGCCGGGGUCUUCGAUUGACGCUGCUUGGAAGGCGCGCUCGAGGGAGCACACCGCAUCUCUUUCUUCGCAGGGGACUGUGAUGAUCCCGCCGCUUCCUGGCAUCUUGAGGACGUUGUAGCCGUGGUGCGUCACGGCCGUGAACUUGGCCAGGGCCGGAUAACCCGAGGAUGGCAUUGUAUGGCAGACGGAUGUGGGCAAUGUCGAAGUCGAUGAGCUCGGUGCGGUAGUUGUUGCGCUGUCCGAAGGUAACGGGGAGGCGGACCUGCCCAAUCAGGGUGGUGGAGCCAUCGGUCACUCCUAAGAAAGGCUUGCUGGGUUGAAGCUUAACAUACGACACUUGGAGGUUGUCGAACGUGUCGACGGACAGGACGUUGAGCCCUGCACCGCCAUCGAUGAGAGUCUAGGUAACUUGCACGUUGCUAAUGACUGGUGAACAGAGCAUCGGGAGGGCGCCAACGGUAGCCGCACACUUGAGCUGAUCUAUCAAGAUGAACGUGAUGGUGCACUUGGACCAUCUGAGCGGGCGCGUGGCCUCGAGCUUGGGGAGGACUGCAUUCACUUCACGAGCGAACUGUUUGAAGAUACGUUGUGAGGCUGGGGCUUGACCUCCGCCCAAGAUGCAGGUGAUGGCACGUGGCUCCUGGAAGCCCCCAACCCCCUCGUCCUGAUGGUGGUCGUCAUUCCUUCUUGGUGGUGGCGGUAGUGGAGGGAGGCCGGCGUUGCCCUGGGGACGAUCCACACGAGGCUGAUCCCUCCAGGCGCCCUCGUGAGACUAAUCCUGCCAGCGGUCUUCACGAGGCCGGUCGCGCCACUCCUGGCGCGGGCCACGGUCAUCCCAGCAUCCGCCACCACGUCCUCCUCCUCGGCCGUAGCCCCGGUCGUUGCGCUCGGGGCGUCGACCGAAGCGUCCUUCUCGAAUGGCUAUGAGAUCUUGACAGUCGCUGGUGUUGUGGCUAUGCAAGUUAUGGAAGGCGCAGAAUGGUCGGCUGCUCUUGGAUGACUUGGGCUGGUCCCUGCCGCGCUUUGUGUCCGGCUCCACCGCGAGCACGACUGCUGUCGGUGUCGAUUUCGAGUAGGGGGUCCCGAACUGUGCGUCUAAGGCGGAUGGUAACAAUAGGCAGGGAACAUGAUGUUUACCCAGGUUCGGGCCCUCUUGAUGGAGGUAAUACCCUACGUCUUGCUUGAUUGUUCUUGAUAAUCUCUACUCCUAAUGGACGAGUUGGUUGAAUAGUCCCACCACUUUCGUCUGAUUUUUUUUCGCUGGUUUUUUUCGUCCCCCUCCCACCAGCCCACCGGUUGAUUUUUUCUCUCCAUCAUUUCCUUGUAAACAAACACUUUCCUAUUGUAUAAAAAGUCACAGAUCUAGCUUUCCUGACUUACCCAAUCAACCUUUUCAUCUCACCAAUGUAAUUUUCUUUAGGAAACAAAUAAUGGAUUUUAAGUAAACAAAUAACUAACUUUAUUUAAUGAAAAAAAAUCCAAUCUACAAAUCAUCUUUCUUUUUUUUAGGAAAUCUACAAAUCAUCUUUCAACUCCUUCGUCUCCACCGUCCUUUUCCACCCCGAUCGAUUCUUCCUUCCACCCAUUUAUUUCCUUCCAAUUAUACCUGUUUUCUUCCACGAUAAUCCGUUCCUGAAAAUUCUCCCAUGAUCUCCCCAGAAAUCUCGUGCCCCUCUCCCUCUCGCCAUUACUAGAUCGGGACCGCGCCUUGGCGCGAGGGUGCCGGUCCCAACGAUAUGGUCAAGCAGGUAAUGAUCAUUUAGUAAGAAGCAAGAUAUUAUCGAGUUCAACAUCAUCAUGAAAUUAUAAACACUCAGUUAGUUCAUUAGACCACAAAACCUAAUAAAUACAACAUUAAGUUCAAAAAUAAGAGCACGAACACGAGAGAGGAAGUACUAAUAGCAGGAACAUAAUAAGAAAGCAAAAGCCAGGCAUACUGAUGGUAGAGGAGGUCAAACUACAAAGCAACAGCUAUUAGGCAUACUAAUUAGUAGCUCUGUCCAACUGCCUUGUCGGUCAACUUCAUAGGUGCGCUUAGAUGAUCAACCGCGUGGCCUUGGUGUGAAAGCAACUGGCGCAAGCACAUCAUGCUCUUGUGCCUGAGACUGUCUUUUUAUUUGAAUAAUCUCAGCCCAUGUGGGAAACUAAAGCAUGAUGGCACGAACUUCAGAAGAUGUCGUGUACUCAAAGAUGACUUGAAUUCGAUGGUUCUACAAAACAGAUAAAAAUAAAGAUCAUUACUCUAUUGAUAAGUAAGGAAAAGGGAACAAAUAACAAACAUCUACUUUGGAUUAGCUAGUGUUAAUAAACCAUUAAAGAUUACUGAGUGUACAAAAAAUGAUAUGCGGUCAGACUAUCGAUACUCUUUAGCCUAUAUAACCUAGGUGUACGUCAUCCCUUUCUCUACAAAGUAUAAUUUAGCCGUACUUUAUUGUUAUUGUUGAAUCAAGAAACCAAUGGAAUGAUAAAUGGAUACAUUGAACUUACAUGAAAGGCCACCAGAUAUCUCAAAGAAAAGAUUGCUGAUGUAAACAUGUCUAUGCCAACCUGUGGAUAUUUAUUUGAGUAGAUGUCACUAAUUUCAAUCGUUAAUAUCUGGUAUAGAGGAAAUUCAUGUAGGUAGUAAAAAUUCAGUGGCGGAACUGAAUUAUACAAUAAAUGCAUAUGCAUAUAUGAAACACAAUCUCUGUCUGUUGUCCAAAUAUAUGAAAUCUGCUUAUAAUCUUGAUCCAGAGCAGCCAGUAGGUCUCUAAGCUGCUUUUUUAAAAAGGAAGAUAACCAAAAAAAAACUAAUAAUGAUUGUAGCUACAUCUUUAAUCUAUGAAGUGAUACACAUAGCCAACGGCCCUUGAAGAUCACAUGGCUAAGGAGCAUGUCAAUAUCAGCUUUUAUGCAAGUAGAAGCGGCACACUUCAUUCACACUGCACUAUGAUAGCAGUAUGUAUACAUUGUGUAGAUACCAUUACUGAAGUAUAGUGAUAAGAAAAGAAACAUGAUUACUGCACAUUAUUUAUUCCUAAUUUAUUAUAUUUGAAGCCCCACAGAAAAAAAUAAGUUGUAAAGAUCACCAUGUAUGUUGACAUGUUCACUAAAUCUUGAACUAUAGUCAGUUCAUAAUUUAAAAGCAUUAUCUCAGGGGCUUGAACUAAGAAAAAAAAUGAAGAACGAAAUAUUAACUACAUGGGCGGGUUCACAACAUAUAUUCACCCUGUGCGUUCGGUUUAUUCGGUUUACAUGGUUCGAUUUAUACGGUUUUUCAGUUUGUACGGUAUUAAUACUUCGGUAAAUAUGGUAUGAAAUUAAAAUAUGGCUCGGUUUCGGUAUAUACCAAAUUAUUUCGGUAUGGUUUCGGUAUAUACCAUAAAAACCAACGUUGACGCGAAUUUGGAAAUGAUGUAAUAAUAAUUAGCAAAUUUAUGACUCAAAACACAUACUAUUCUACACAAAUAGUAUAUGACUAUAUAUAUAAGUAUAUAUGCAUGCAUUGAUUCAUCUGUUGAUGGUUAUGGACGUGCUUAGCAUUUUAAAAAUAGAAAAAUGACUAUGUUACAAGAAAAAAAUUAUGUUCUUAGUAGUGCAUUUGACUCAUGUACAAGAAAAAUGACAACUUGUAUGGUUGUUCAUCUCAAGAAAGAUAAAUUUAUUUUUUACUUCGGUUUAUUCGGUUAACCGUUCGGUUUUCCGGUAUAUACCAUAAAAACCAAGUUCAAAUCGGUAUGAAAAGUUCAUACCAUACCGAAAGCAGAAACCAUAAAAACCAUAAAAUUGGUUCGGUUCGGUUUAUUUUUGGUAUGGUUUUUUGGUUCGGUUUUAAAAUGCACAGAGUGAACAUAUAUAUAGCAGCAACUCUUAUAGAUCCUUCCUAAUACAGACAAUAGAAAUAUUUUGGAGAGGGUAUUGAAGAUAAAUUAAAUUUAUUUGGUUCCUAGCCAUUUAUGUGGGGUUACAUGAUGUAUUCAACGGCCAUGAGAAUAGUGCAAGGAAUUUAAGAUACAGAGCUAUACAUGGAAUUGAAGGAUAAAGAGUUACUUGUCUGCUGAGUGGGUUCAGAGCGACGAACGUGAAUGGUGUCAAGGAGGUCAACAGUCACACUGCCAGAUCACUGCAGUUCUGUUGCUCGACACCAUAAUCGAUGGUGGCGUCCUCUACUGGUUUGAUUCAAACUAUCAAUGGUAUGCCUCAUUCCCUGUAUAAACAUCUGGGGAUAAAUUCAUCUACGGGGUCAAAACAGAUGCUGGAUUAACACGUAUUCAGAACCUAGAACCAAGGAAAUUUUCGCGCAACUGUGGAGUAAGCAAAUCAAAUGUAUAUCAUAAUGCGUUUUGUCGCUUGCAUGAUAUUUGCAACUGAGUUGAAUGUAUAUCAUAAUGCACGGCAUGCCAUCUAUAGUUAAAUGUAUAUCAUAAUGCGUUUCAAGCCGACGCAUCAAAAGAAUAGUGCAUUGAAUGCCAUCUACAACAAAUAGUUAGAAAUUAAUCACUAGGAAAAGAAUAAUCAGGAGAGGACAAAGCAACCUCGAAAAGAAAAACUACCAACAGAUAUAUGAAAGAGAGACAGAAUACAUGCAAUUAGCAUGAUGCGGGUAGUGUAUGGAUAUACGCCCCCUCUCCCUAAAUGAAAUCAUUCAUUAUUCGAGCGAAAGCACUAUUCCAAGAAGAAGAAAUCGACUAUCUCGUUUUAUGAUUAUACCAAAAGAAUAUGCACAGACGAAGGCAGUUGAACCCAAAACAAACAAAAAGGGCACCACACUGCAAAAUAUAAGACCAUGAUGGUACACAGAUAUCUCAAAAGGCCCCAGCAGAGGCAUACCCCUAAGGGUAAACGUUAUUCUGUGUUUCAAUAGUGCAUUCUACAACUUUAUCUUCAGUAAGUAUUUUUAGCAAUUCUCUUAAUGCACAUGAGACAGAACAUCAUAUAGUUGUCCAUGAGUAGACAUGUGAACUGCUAACUUUUUGGAUAAUAAAAAAUCAGCAUGCCACAAUUCAGAAGAGUGAACUGGGAGGACUAUUGCAAUUGCUAUAUCAGAAUCGUACAUCCAAGAAGAAUAGUGGGCACCAAGAUUAUUGGAAGAACACGUCAGCAAUGAAAAAGAUACUAAAAGGAUUUAUAAUAUCACUUGGUCGCUGUAAUCAUAGUUCUGGUUACCUUGCUAACAUUUAAAAUAAAAAGUGUGUAGUAGAUAACCCACUAAUCAUGCAUAAGACAUAAACUACUCAAUAAACAGAGGUAUGAAAUACUUAGAUUAACACCUGAAUUGCUUCAGAGUCAUAAGGGAUGAUACAUUAUGUAUGUGCCUGAUAUAUGAAUCUUAGAAUAGCAGGUAGACUUCCUUUUAUCUAUUUGGAGUGCCAAAACAGUAGGAAUUUGUUAAUUGGAAAUCAUAUGAAGUUACAUCAUGAAAUUUAUUAUAAGCAUUCUUUCUUGCAGAAGCGGGUGGCAAAACGUAAUGGAAUACCAAUUUGAAACACAGUAAGGUGCCAAAACAAUAGUAAAUGAGUAAGAACAGUAGCCCUCUGUUCUAGCCAAAUUAGGGAGCUCACUGAUGUAUGGUGUUGCACUUCUACAACAGUACCCAGAUUUGAUAAGCUUGCAGAGUACACUUUCUGCAGAAAAAGUGAAGGGAUCAAUCUUAUUAUUAUUUCUUCUACAUAUAAUAAAGUAAUACACAAAACUACAUGAAAGUUAAACUGAUGCAAUAAAAAACUUUGAGAUCGGAACUUAAGCCCUGGAUCAACUAAUCUAGCAUGGUAGCUUAUUCUUCUUAAUGAAAGCACAUAUAUUUUAAGAACUGCUAGUGAAUCACAACUCCAACUAAUUUUGCAAACCAAACCAUGAAUGGGAGCAAGCAUCACCUUUGUAGAGAGAGUGGCACAAGGGAGCUCUGCUUCUCAUGAUGAAGUGCAGAAUUGAGGAACUGAUCGUUUGGUUCAGAACCCUCUCUUACUAUUUACGUCAAAGCAAAUAGAGAAAUGAAAUGCAGCUAUUAUUAUUUUCCCCACCAACCACAAUGCAACUACAGUUGUCCAUCUAUAUGAACCACACUAAAACAUCAUGGAUCCACAACAAACCAAGGAGUAGCAGAUUCUAAACCCUUAAUUGUAAUGGAUACUUUUCAUAUUGUACAUCUCAACCAGGUAAUAGGCCAUUCUUAUUGCAUAUUAAUGCUCGGUUUAAAUCAGUGUGUGACUGCCAUAUGACCCUAAAAUAUUGCUCUGAGAAAUACCAUGAUAUAAAUCUAACCAUAAACAUGAACACACUGACAAUAUUAUUACCUUGUCAACCUGAAACUCUUCAAUCUGCAAUAUGGCUUCUGUGCUAGAAUUUACUUCUGUACAUAAUGGGGUCAUGUCAAACAUUCAGUGAUAAAUUAUUAUUUACCAGGUUUUGAGUAUCACAAUGGGCACCUGAGCCACGACGGCGAGGCAACCACGGCGACGGCGGCGUCCAGAUCAAAUCCAAAAUUGGAAGGGAGAAGGGGGUGAAGUGAGCACAUGGUCGGACUGGCCGCCGUCUUUCGGCCACGCUCCUCCUCCUACAUACAAUGAGCAUAUAAAGACCACAUCCUAAAAAAUAUAUUUUUAGUCCAACGGCAACAUGCUACGAUCAACUGCAGAUUUUUUGUGGCACUUAUAGGAAGAUAUUAAAAUAGUAUGUUUGACCAUCAAUGAACUAACAAAACAGUGGUAACUUAUAUGUUCUGUAAAAUUAACUCCGCUGUCAAAUUCACAGAUACAUGACUAUCCUCCAAAUAUGAACCCGGCAUUAUUAACUAAACUAUGGUUCAAAUCUCUACUCCUCAAAAAAAUUAGUAUCAGUUAUCUAGAAUUAAGGAAUCAAAUGGUAAAGCGGUAACAGGAUAGGUGAUAUUGAGGAGGUUGAUGGUGAGUUAGGUUUAGCAGGCGACCUUGAUGGUGUUAGGUGACAGGCUGAACAACAUCGUUGUUCGGCUCCGUGGUAGCCUAGGCAUAAUGGCAUUGCCUUCCUCAUGCGCGGAGGCGAUGUUGGGGAACGUAGCAGAAAUUCAAAAUUUUCCUACGUGUCACCAAGAUCUAUCUAUGGAGAGACCAGCAACGAGUAGAAAGAGAAUGCAUCUACAUACCCUUGUAGAUCGCUAAGCGGAAGCGUUCAAGAGAACGGGGUUGAAGGAGUCGUACUUUUCGUGAUCCAAAUCACCGGAGAUCCUAGUGCCGAACGGACGACACCUCCGCGUUCAACACACGUACAGCCCGGUGACGUCUCCCAUGCCUUGAUCCAGCAAGGAGAGAGGGAGAGGUUGAGGAAGACUCCGUCCAGCAGCAGCACAACGGCGUGGUGGUGGUGGAGGAGCGUGGCAAUCCUGCAGGGCUUCGCCAAGCACCGCGAGAGAGGAGGAGCACUUGGGAGAGGGAGGGCUGCGCCAGGGGCAAGGGUGAAGCUCCCAUGCGCCUCCCCACUAUAUAUAGGGGUGGAGGGGGCUGGUUUCUUGCCCUCCAAGUCCAUUGGGGCGUUGGCCAAGGUGGGAGGAAAGAAAUCCCAUCAUUUCCUUCCCCACCGAUUGUUAUCCCGCCUUUUUAGGGAUCUUGAUCUUAUCCCUUCGGGAUAUGAUCUUAUUCCUUCUAAGGGGGGAUCUUGGUGCGCCUUGACCAGGGGUGUGGGGCCUUGCCCCCACUACCCACGUCCAUGUGGGUCCCCCCAUGCAGGUGGGCCCCACUCCGGAACCUUCUAGAACCUUCCCGGUACAAUACCGAAAAAUCCCGAACAUUUUCCGGUGGCCAAAAUAGGACUUCCCAUAUAUAAAUCUUUACCUUCGGACCAUUCCGGAACUCCUCGUGACGUCCGGGAUCUCAUCCGGGACUCCGAACAACAUUCGGUAACCACAUACAAACUUCCUUUAUAACCCUAGCGUCAUCGAACCUUAAGUGUGUAGACCCUACGGGUUCGGGAGACAUGUAGACAUAACCGAGACGUUCUCCGGUCAAUAACCAACAGCGGGAUCUGGAUACCCAUGAUGGCUCCCACAUGUUCCACAAUGAUCUCAUCGGAUGAACCACGAUGUCAAGGACUUAAUCAAUCCUGUAUUCAAUUCCCUUUGUCUAUCGGUAUGUUACUUGCCCGAGAUUCGAUCGUCGGUAUCCAAUACCUUGUUCAAUCUCGUUACCGGCAAGUCACUUUACUUGUUCUGUAACACAUCAUCCCGUGAUCAACUCCUUGGUCACAUUGCGCAUAUGAUGAUGUCCUACCGAGUGGGCCCAGAGAUACCUCUCCGUUUACACGGAGUGACAAAUCCCAGUCUCGAUCCGCAUAAAACAAUAGAUACUUUCAGAGAUACCUGUAGUGCACCUUUAUAGUCACCCAGUUACGUUGUGACGUUUGAUACACCCAAAGCACUCCUACGGUAUCCAGGAGUUACACGCUCUCAUGGUCGAAGGAAGAGAUACUUGACAUUGGCAAAGCUCUAGCAAAUGAACUACACGAUCUUUUGUGCUAGUCUUAGGAUUGGGUCUUGUCCAUCACAUCAUUCUCCUAAUGAUGUGAUCCCGUUAUCAACGACAUCCAAUGUCCAUAGCCAGGAAACCAUGACUAUCUGUUGAUCACAACGAGCUAGUCAACUAGAGGCUCACUAGGGACAUAUUGUGGUCUAUGUAUUCACACGUGUAUUAUGAUUUCCGGAUAAUACAGUUAUAGCAUGAAUAAAAGACAAUUAUCGUGAACAAGGAAAUAUAAUAAUAAUACUUUUAUUAUUGCCUCUAGGGCAUAUUUCCAACAGUCUCCCACUUGCACUAGAGUCAAUAAUCUAGUUCACAUCGCCAUGUGAUUAACACUCACAGGUCACAUCGCCAUGUGACUAAUACCCAAGAGUUUACUAGAGUCAGUAGUCUAGUUCACAUCACUAUGUGAUUAACACUCAAUGAGUUUUAUGUUUGAUCAUGUUGCUUGUGAGAGAGGUUUUAGUCAACGGGUCUGAACCUUUCAGAUCCGUGUGUGCUUUACAAAUCUCUAUGUCAUCUCCUAGAUGCAGCUACCACACUCUAUUUGGAGCUAUUCCAAACAACUGUUCUACUUGGAGCUAUUCUAAAUUAUUGCUCCAUUAUAUGUAUCCGGUCUCUCUACUCAGAGCUAUCCGGAUAGGUGUCAAGCUUGCAUCGUCGUAACCUUUACGACGAACUCUUUUACCACCUCCAUAAUCGAGAAAAUUCCUUAGUCCACUAGUUACUAAGGAUAACUUUGACCGCUGUCCUGUGAGCCAUUCUUGGAUCACUCUUGUACCCCUUGACUGACUCAUGGCAAGGCACACUUCAGGUGCGGUACACAGCAUAGCAUACUGAAGAGCCUACGUCUUAAGCAUAGGGGACGACCUUCGUCCUUUCUCUCUAUUCUGCCGUGGUCGAGCUUUAAGUCUUAACUUCGUACCUUACAACUCAGGCAAGAACUCCUUCUUUGACUGGUCCAUCUUGAACACCUUCAAGAUCAUGUCAAGGUAUGUGCUCAUUUGAAAGUAUCAUUAAGCAUUUUGAUCUAUCCUUAUAGAUCUUGAUGCUCAAUGUUCAAGUAGCUUAAUCCAGGCUUUCCAUUGAAAAACACUUUCAAAAUAACCCUAUAUGCUUUCCAGAAAUUCUACGUCAUUUCUGAUCAACAAUAUGUCAACAACAUAUACUCAUCAGAAAUUCUAUAGUGCUCCCACUCACUUCUUUGGAAAUACAAGUUUCUCAUAAACUUUGUACAAACUCAAAAUUUUUGAUCAUCAUCAAAGCAUACAUUCCAACUCCGAGAUGCCCACUCCAGUCCUUAGAAGGAUUGCUGGAGCUCUGCAUACUUAUUAGCAUCUUUCGGGAUUGACAAAACCUUCCGGUUGUAUCACAUACAACCUUUCCUCAUUAAAAUCGUCGAGGAAACAAUGUUUUGACAUCCUAUCUGCAAGAUUUCAUAAAUAAUGCAGUAAUCGCUAAUAUAAUUCCAACAGACUCUUAGCAUCACUACGAGUGAGAAAAUCUCAUCGUAGUCAACUCCUUGAACUUGUCGGAAAACAUCUUAACGACAAGUCGAGCUUUCUUAAUGGUGACAUUUACCAUCAUUGUCCGUCUUCCUUUUGAAAUCCAUCUGUACUCAUUAGCCUUACGACCAUCGAGCCGUUCUGCCAAAGUCUACACUUUGUUUUCAUACAUGGAUCCUCUCUCGGAUUUUAUGGCCUCAAGCCAUUUAUCGGAAUCCGGGCCCACCAUCGCUUCUCCAUAGCUCGUAGGUUCAUUGUUGUCUAGCAACAUGACCUUCAAGACAGGAUUACGUACCACUCUGAAGUAGUACGCAUCCUUGUCAUCCUACGAGGUUUGGGAGUGACUUGAUCCGAAGUUUCAUGAUCAAUAUCAUAAGCUUCCACUUCAAUUGGUGUAGGUGCCACAGGAACAACUCCCUGUGCCCUGUCACACACUAGAUGAAGAGACGGUCCAAUAACCUCAUCAAGUCUCCACCAUCCUCCCACUCAAUUCUUUCGAGAGAAACUUUUCCUCGAGAAAGGACCCGAUUCUAGAAAGAAUCCAUAUUGCUUUCGGAUCUGAAUUAGGAGGUAUACCCAACUGUUUUGGGUUUCCUAUGAAGAUGCAUUUUAUCCGCUUUGGGUUCGAGCUUAUCAACCUGAAACUUUUUCAUAUAAGCGUCGCAGCCCCAAACUUUUAAGAAACGACAACUUAGGUUUCUCUAAACCAUAAUUCAUACGGUGUCAUCUCAUCGGAAUUACGUGGUGCCCUAUUUAAAGUGAAUGUGGUUGUCUCUAAUGCCUAACCCAUGAACGAUAGUGGUAAUUCGAUAAGAGACAUCAUGGUACGCACCAUAUCCAAUAGGGUGCAACUAUGAUGUUCGGACACACCAUCACAUUAUGGUGUUCCAGGCGGUAUUAAUUGCGAAACAAUUUCCACAAUGUCUUAAUUGUGUGCCAAAACUCGUAACUCAGAUAUUCAUCUCUAUGAUCAUAUCAUAGACAUUUUAUCCUCUUGUCACAAUGAUCUGCUACUUCACUCUGAAAUUACUUGAACCAUUCAAUAAUUCAGACUUGUGUUUCAUCAAGUAAAUAUACUCAACAUUUACUCGAAUCAUCUGUGAAGUAAGAACAUAAUGAUAUUCACUGCAUGCCUCAGCACUCAUUCGACUGCACACAUCAAAAUGUGUUACUUCCAACAAGUUGCUAUCUUGUUUCAUCUUACUGAAAAUGAGGCUUUUCAGUCAUCUUGCCCAUGUGGUAUGAUUUGCAUAUCUCAAGUGAUUCAAAAUCAAGUGAGUCCGAACGAUCCAUUUGCAUGGAGUUUCUUCAUGCAUAUACACCAAUAGACAUGGUUCGCAUGUCUCAAACUUUUCAAAAAUGAGUGAGUCCAAAGAUCCAUCAACAUGGAGCUUCUUCAUGCAUUUUAUACCGAUAUGACUUACGUGGCAGUGCCACAAAUAGGUGGUACUAUCAUUACUAUCUUUUGGCAUGAACAUGUGUAUCACUACGAUCGAGAUUUCAAUGAACCAUUCAUUUUAGGUGCAAGACCAUUGAAGGUAUUAUUCAAAUAAAUAGAGUAACCAUUAUUCUCUUUAAAUGAAUAACCGUAUUGCGAUAGACAUAAUCCAAUCAUGUCUAUGCUCAAUGCAAACACCAAAUCUCGAUGGUAGAGGGAGCGUGCGAUGCUUGAUCAUAUCAACAUUGGAAACACUUCCAACACAUAUCGUCAGCUCACCUUUAGCUAGUCUCCGUUUAUGCCGUAGCUUUUAUUUCGAGUUACUAACACUUAGCAACCGAACCGGUAUCUUAUACCCUGGUGCUACUAGGAGUAAAGUACACAUUAACAUAAUGUAUAUCCAAUAUACUUCUAUCGACCUUGCCAGCCUUCUCAUCUACCAAGUAUGUAGGGUAAUUCUGCUCUAGUGACUGUUCCCCUUAUUACAGAAGCACUUAGUCUCAGGUUUGGGUUCAACCUUGGGUUUCUUCACUGGAGCAGCAGCUGAUUUGCCGUUUCAUGAAGUAUCCCUUCUUGCCCUUGCCCUUCUUGAAACUAGUGGUUUCACCAACCAUCAACAAUUGAUGCUCCUUCUUGAUUUCUACUUUCGCGGUGUCAAACAUCGUGAAUACCUCAAGGAUCAUCUUAUUUAUCCCUGAUAUGUUAUAGUUCAUCACGAAGCUCUAGCAGCUCGGUGGCAAUGACUUUGGAGAAACAUCACUAUCUCAUUUGGAAGAUCAACUCCCACUCAAUUCAAGUGAUUGUUGCACUCAGACAAUCUGAGCACAAGCUCAACGAUUGAGAUUUUCUCCCUUAGUUUGCAGGCUAAGAGAAUCGUCGGAGGUCUUAUACCUCUUGACGUGAGCACGAGCCUGAAAUCCCAAUCUCAGCCCUCGAAACAUCUCAUAUGUUCCGCGAUGUUUCGAAAACGCCUUUGAUGCCUCUACUUAAACCAUUUAACUGAACUAUCACGUAGUUAUCAAAACGUGUAUGUUCGAUGUUCGAAACAUCCACAAACGACAUUUGGGGUUCAGCACACUGAGCAGUGCAUUAAGGACAUAAGCUUUCUACUGUUCGCAUAAUCGCUACUAUCAACUUUCAACUAUAUUUUCUCUAGGAACAUAUCUAAAACAGUAGAACUAAAGCGCGAGCUACGACAUAAUUUGCAAAAGGUCUUUUGACUAUGUUCAGGAUAAUUAAGUUCAUCUUAUGAACUCCCACUCAGAUAGACAUCCCUCUGGUCAUCUAAGUGAUUACAUGAUCCGAGUCAACUAGGCCGUGUCCGAUCAUCACGUGAGACGGACUAGUCAUCAUCGGUGAACAUCUUCAUGUUGAUCGUAUCUACUAUACGACUCAUGCUCGACCUUUCGGUCUCUGUGUUCCGAGGCCAUGUCUGUACAUGCUAGGCUCGUCAAGUUAACCCUAAGUGUUUUCGCUGUGUAAAACUGUCUUACACCCGUUGUAUGUGAACGUAAGAAUCCAUCACACCCGAUCAUCACGUGGUGCUUAGAAGCGACGAACUGUAGCAACGGUGCACAGUUAGGGGAGAACACUUCUUGAAAUUGUUGUAAGGGAUCAUCUUAUUUACUACCGUCGUUCUAAGAAAACAAGAUGCAUAAACAUGAUAAACAUCACAUGCAAUCAAAUAGAGUAGUGACAUGAUAUGGCCAAUAUCAUAUAGCUCCUUUGAUCUUCAUCUUCGGGGCUCCAUGAUCAUCUUGUCACCGGCAUGACACCAUGAUCUCCAUCAUCAUGAUCUCCAUCAUCGUGUCUUCAUGAAGUUGUCACGCCAACGACUACUUCUACUUCUAUGACUAACACGUUUAGCAAUAAAGUAAAGUAGUUUACAUGGCGUUCUUCAAUGACACGCAGGUCAUACAAUAAAUAAAGACAACUCCUAUGGCUCCUGCCGGUUGUCAUACUCAUCGACAUGCAAGUCGUGAUUCCUAUUACAAGAACAUGAUCAAUCUCAUACAUCACAUAUCAUUCAUCACAUUCUUCUUGGCCAUAUCACAUCACAUAGCAUACCCUGCAAAAACAAGUUAGACGUCCUCUAAUUGUUGUUGCAUGUUUUACGUGGCUGCUAUGGGUUUCUAGCAAGAACGUUUCUUACCUACGCAAGACCACAACGUGAUAUGCCAAUUGCUAUUUACCCUUCAUAAGGACCCUUUUCAUCGAAUCCGUUCCGACUAAAGUGGGAGAGACUGGCACCCGCUAGCCACCUUAUGCACCAAGUGCAUGUCAAUCGGUGGAACCUGUCUCACGUAAGAGUACGUGUAAGGUCGGUCCGGGCCGCUUCAUCCCACAAUACCGUCGAAACAAGAUUGGACUAGUAACGGUAAGCAUAUUGAACAACAUCAACGCCCACAACUACUUUGUGUUCUACUCGUGCAAAGAAUCUACGCAAUAGACCUAGUUCUGAUACCACUGUUGGGGAACGUAGCAGAAAUUCAAAAUUUUCCUACGUGUCACCAAGAUCUAUCUAUGGAGAGACCAGCAACGAGUAGAAAGAGAAUGCAUCUACAUACCCUUGUAGAUCGCUAAGCGGAAGCGUUCAAGAGAACGGGGUUGAAGGAGUCGUACUUGUCGUGAUCCAAAUCACCGGAGAUCCUAGUGCCGAACGGACGGCACCUCCGCGUUCAACACACGUACAGCCCGGUGACGUCUCCCAUGCCUUGAUCCAGCAAGGAGAGAGGGAGAGGUUGAGGAAGACUCCGUCCAGCAGCAGCACAACGGCGUGGUGGUGGUGGAGGAGCGUGGCAAUCCUGCAGGGCUUCGCCAAGCACCGCAAGAGAGGAGGAGCACUUGGGAGAGGGAGGGCUGCGCCAGGGGCAAGGGUGAAGCUCCCAUGCGCCUCCCCACUAUAUAUAGGGGUGGAGGGGGCUGGUUUCUUGCCCUCCAAGUCCAUUGGGGCGUUGGCCAAGGUGGGAGGAAAGAAAUCCCAUCAUUUCCUUCCCCACCGAUUGUUAUCCCCCCUUUUUAGGGAUCUUGAUCUUAUCCCUUCGGGAUAUGAUCUUAUUCCUUCUAAGGGGGGAUCUUGGUGCGCCUUGACCAGGGGUGUGGGGCCUUGCCCCCACUACCCACGUCCAUGUGGGUCCCCCCAUGCAGGUGGGCCCCACUCCGGAACCUUCUAGAACCUUCCCGGUACAAUACCGAAAAAUCCCGAACAUUUUCCGGUGGCCAAAAUAGGACUUCCCAUAUAUAAAUCUUUACCUACGGACCAUUCCGGAACUCCUCGUGACAUCCGGGAUCUCAUCCGGGACUCUGAACAACAUUCGGUAACCACAUACAAACUUCCUUUAUAACCCUAGCGUCAUCGAACCUUAAGUGUGUAGACCCUACGGGUUCGGGAGACAUGUAGACAUAACCGAGACGUUCUCCGGUCAAUAACCAACAGCGGGAUCUGGAUACCCAUGAUGGCUCCCACAUGUUCCACGAUGAUCUCAUCGGAUGAACCACGAUGUCAAGGACUUAAUCAAUCCCGUAUUCAAUUCCCUUUGUCUAUCGGUAUGUUACUUGCCCGAGAUUCGAUCGUCGGUAUCCAAUACCUUGUUCAAUCUCGUUACCGGCAAGUCACUUUACUCGUUCCGUAACACAUCAUCCCGUGAUCAACUCCUUGGUCACAUUGCACAUAUGAUGAUGUCCUACCGAGUGGGCCCAGAGAUACCUCUCCGUUUACACGGAGUGACAAAUCCCAGUCUCGAUCCGCAUAAAACAAUAGAUACUUUUGGAGAUACCUGUAGUGCACCUUUAUAGUCACCCAGUUACGUUGUGACGUUUGAUACACCCAAAGCACUCCUACGGUAUCCAGGAGUUACACGCUCUCAUGGUCGAAGGAAGAGAUACUUGACAUUGGCAAAGCUCUAGCAAAUGAACUACACGAUCUUUUGUGCUAGUCUUAGGAUUGGGUCUUGUCCAUCACAUCAUUCUCCUAAUGAUGUGAUCCCGUUAUCAACGACAUCCAAUGUCCAUAGCCAGGAAACCAUGACUAUCUGUUGAUCACAACGAGCUAGUCAACUAGAGGCUCACUAGGGACAUAUUGUGGUCUAUGUAUUCACACGUGUAUUACGAUUUCCGGAUAAUACAGUUAUAGCAUGAAUAAAAGACAAUUAUCAUGAACAAGGAAAUAUAAUAAUAAUACUUUUAUUAUUGCCUCUAGGGCAUAUUUCCAACAGGCGAGCUAUAUAUUGGUAAGUCAACCAACAGUCUCAAUCCUUAAAAUACCAAAAAGAGUUUGAUUUCUAAAUAUACUUCAUUCAUGACACAUUGCUAACCAUUUGUACAACAUCCUACAGACAUAGUUAUGCUAAUCCACCAUCCAAGAUUACGCCACAACGCAAAACAAAUUACCUUUAUUUUAGGAUCCAGCAGCUCUGGAGGACAACACCUCUCCCCUUGAGAUCCACCCCCCUACAAGUGCAAAAAACAACUCAUUGCCACAAGAUCAUAAAGAAAGUGAACUCCGUUGUCUGAAAGAUAAAAGAAAGUGAUAUGCUUCUGAAAACACGCAUGCCAUUAUUCUCCAGCAGAAAUGAAGUACACAUCUUAAUCAUGAAAUAAACAAAUAUUUAUCUUGACGCACUAACAUAAUAACCACUUGUUAUUCUGAUCCAAUAUAGGCAGAACAAUUGUUUCGUACUUGGUGUCAAUUGCCAGGUUUAUUCUAUCAUCAGUAUUUGCAAAGUUGGAAAGUGAUUUUAACAGACUAAUAGUCAAUAAGAGAUGCAGAAACUAACCAAUGUUGGUUUGGUUGUACGGUUCCAGAAGGAGUGAUAGAAGGGUAACUUGUUUAAUUGGUCAGUUGCAGCUUUGACUAAUCGAGGCUCACUACCACCUGAAGAAAUCAUGAAUAGUUCAUGCAAGAGGAAUGAAAUUAGACUGUAUACAUUAUUCUUAUCACAAAACUAAAAUGGUGAUGCAGGAUAUUAUCCCAAAGAAUGCACAACUCCCUGGUACAUAAUCACAAAAAUCACACUCAAAAGAAUGUAUUUGUACAUACCUAAAUUUGUACUCCACAGUCCUGCUAGAGAAUCUAGAUACUUAUUCUGUUGAUGUCAUAAACAUAAGAACCCUGCAUAUUCAGGUUAACACUGUAUAAGGCAAACAUACAUAGUUCACAAGCAUAUCAUAAAUAAAUUAGCUUCCAUUCCAAAAUGGAAUGCUACAUUGCAAGAGAAGUAAACAUAUAUAAUGCUAUAACUGGAGAGCCGCAACCUCAGAUCUCCCAAUAACCAGCAGAUGCACAUCAUUGCUCUGACAUCCAGCUGUGAAUGGUGCCAACAUGCCAUGCCCCUUAAACCUGGAAAGGCCAUGCUUUCAAAGUCAGUUGUGGCUUCUAAAUAUAUCGAAUGAAAACCUGCAUAUGCCCGAGUGCAUAACAGAGCAAAAUUAUGUGAUAAAUCCACAAAUAUAAUAUAAUAAUAAAUUAUAAUAGUAAAAGAAGAUCAUGUAUACCCAUUUUCGUCAGUUGAGUUAGUCUGAGAAGACGAUGCUGAACUGAAAUAUCUGACUGAUGCAUCUGAUAAACUCUCUGCAUGCCCUUGUAAGCUCCCUGCGCUGGUUAAAUAUUUCACUAAUUUGCUUGCCUGUGAAAGUGCAAAUUAAGGAAAAUGGAAUAAAUGAACACACACAAGCUGCUAGUCUUCGACAAUGGCAAAACUUGGCAGGUAAGAUGUGAAAUCUAAACGGCAGAAAGAGAAUCUCACUAUUGGAUGUCUUUUGUCAUGUUUUUCGACAUGCUUAAGAUCACCAAGUCACCAUGGAUGCAUGUCUGUUAGGUCAUUAGGAGUGCGACCAGCAGUAAACUAACGUCAAAGGAAGAAGCCUAAACAAUACAAAACAGAAAUUGAAAUGUACUACAUCUUCCGAAAGGAUGACUAACACCAAAGCACAUAUUCAAUCUGUAUCCGCUCUUAAAUAUAAAAUAACAACUAAAAGACACAAGAACUUAAUAGAACAAUCAACAAUUAAAUAUCUGGUUGUCGUAUAAUUACAAACUGGAAGCUGGGAAUGACAGGAAAAUAAAUCUAAUACCUAAGAACAACACUUUGAUUUCACUGAACUGCAACCACGAUAUGCACAGAUCCUCCCUUUAUUUUAUAUAAACAGUUGUGUGAUCUGUUUAACCCUUAAGUCAAAUGGCCAAAGUAGGGAUUAAUAAAAAUAGACUAACAAAUAGAUCAUUUAAUUACUCUAACCAGAUCCGAGCACCUAAUGGACCCAUCCAUAACAACCUAUCUAGAUCUAUGCACUCCAGUAGAGAGAGAAAAUGCAACGAAUAGGUAAAGAAGAAGCUCACCAACCAGAAGCAUGAACGAUGCAGUCUCUUGAAGCAGCAACACACGACAGGACGACCAAAACGGUGAAGGAACAGAAGAAACGAUGACAGCAACAAACCUACAUCAAAAAAAGAUUCAGAAACCAGGAGAACCAAACAAAACAGUUGACAAUAAAACACGAAUUCCUCAUAUAUAAUUAGAAACUAGAAGCUAGGAAGCUGACAGGAUAACCAAAUUAAUCUGGUACCCAAGAAUAACAUCUUGAUCCAUAAGACUACAACCGCAACAAGCAUAGACCUUCUGUGCUCUUUUUCUAAUCAACCAUGUGACCUAUCCAUUCCUGUGAUUACAUUGCUAAGCAAGGACCAAAUUAAUCUAGCACUUGAGGUCAACACUCUAAUACAAACAACUGCAACCACAACAGACAUAGACCACCCAUGUUCUUAACCAACCAUGCAACCUCCCUGACCGCCAAGGCAAACAACUAAGAAAGGACCAAUGAAAACAAAUCAACAAUGACACCAUCUAAGAAUCCAACAGAAGCCCACGAAUAACCUGUUCCCCCACAUCUCUUUUGCAAGGCCGAAUCGAUUACAAACAAAUCCAGCCCCUGAAAAUAGUACAUUGAUUCCAAUAACGUCAGAACCACACCCACAACAACAUAGAUUGUCUUCUAUUUCCCCAACCAACUUGUCAGAUGUCCAACCCCGAAGAUAAACGGACCAGGAAGAGCUUGGGCUAACCAAUCCAUUUAGGCAGACAAUUUCCAAGAAUAGAUCCCAUGCACAAUCCAUCUCAUCACCUUCACCUAACAAGCUCCAAUCAAGCACCUAAGAAUGGCUCCUAAACCCACUGAACAGCAACCACGAAAGUCACAAUCCGUAAAAUUAACCAGGCAUGUGAUUCAUGCAACUAAUCCUUAAGACAAAGAACUAAAGCAGGGACUAACCCGAAUGGCAACAAAUCUGCGUCAUAUUCUAACCUAAUGUAAUCCAACAAUUAAUCCUCAAGAGAAACACCUAAAUCUGGGACUAACCCAAACCAAUAGUCAGAGUGAAAUAUCUUAAACCAACAGAAUCCAACUACAGCAGUCCACGCCAAACCCAUAAGCACCAGACAAAUACAGAAAGGCAACAAAAACUGACACGAAUCUAUGCGUGCGGCCGAGCCUCCGGCAAAGCAACAAAAAACCGAGGGACCCAAGCAGAUCCCCUAAUUUCACCAAAGGAAACCGACCACAUCCAGGCUCGAGUAGCUAAUGCAUCCAAAAAAAUUGCCGCAUCCGACCAGCCAACACGUCCAAAAAACUACUGGAGCCCCACAUAAGCAUCAGACAAGAGGACUGGAAAGGAGGAGGAGAAAAGGGGUUGACCUGCAGAACCAAUUCACCCCCUGUCGCUGCCGUCAUUGGUGAUGGUCGCUGCUGCCGUCCGAGGCUAAGGGUCGUUGUUGGACACGUGCGUGCACCUGUGUACCAAAAGUAGCAGCAACAUGAGGGGAGGGGAGGGGAGGGGCCAAAAACAACAGCAGCAUGAGGGGAGGGGAGGGGCCAAGAGCACCUUGACCAGCAGCAGCAAUGCUAUGGUUAGGGUUGGAGCAGGGGGGAAGGGCGGCGUCUCGAGGAGGCCAUGGCGGGAGCACACUCAGAGGACGAGGUCGGACGAUGGCGCCCACGGAUCUGCGAGCCCUUGGCCGUCGCCAAACCUGCUCGCUGUACUUCUUCUCUUCCCUUNNNNNNNNNNNNNNNNNNNNNNNNNNNNNNNNNNNNNNNNNNNNNNNNNNNNNNNNNNNNNNNNNNNNNNNNNNNNNNNNNNNNNNNNNNNNNNNNNNNNNNNNNNNNNNNNNNNNNNNNNNNNNNNNNNNNNNNNNNNNNNNNNNNNNNNNNNNNNNNNNNNNNNNNNNNNNNNNNNNNNNNNNNNNNNNNNNNNNNNNNNNNNNNNNNNNNNNNNNNNNNNNNNNNNNNNNNNNNNNNNNNNNNNNNNNNNNNNNNNNNNNNNNNNNNNNNNNNNNNNNNNNNNNNNNNNNNNNNGAGGUUGCGGGCGAUGUGGCACGAGGGAAACGAGGAGAGAGGUCACCGCGACGUGGUCUGAGGGGCGUCGGUGGCAGCGAUGUGAGCGGGGCGGCGGCGAUGCGGGCGGGGCGGCGAGGACUGAGGGAGGGAGAGGGAGGGGAGAGGGCGGGGCGAGCGGUGGCUGGGACACGGGAGGACGAGGGAGGGGGCACGAGUGCAGGGUGGGGAGCGGCUAGGUCAUCUCCACGCAAGUGGUCAACUUUUAUACACCUGUAGGCGAAAUGACGAAAAUGCCCUCAGCGGGGCAACAAAUUUACACGCGGUGGCAGGAACGAGAGGUAACUAUUCAUUGCAAUAGUGUCAUCGGUUUGAUCCAGGGGCUGAGAUCAAUCCGGGGCGAGAUCGGACGGUCCAAAUCGCAUGAAGCCACCCGAUCCAACGGCCAAGAAUCCAAAUCACUGAGAGCGCCCGAGAGUUACUCGAUCUCUUAUUUCUCGAUGUCAUCCCAAAAAUUGAUCGGCCCUUACCAAAAAGAAAAAUUGAUCGGUCAAACCCACGCGCACGUCUCGUCCUCUUCCCUCCCUCUCCCUAAAGAGUGCCCCUCGCACGACCUCCUCCUUGGAUGCCCGAGGUCAUGGUGCCACCCCACGAACGCCUUGCCAGCCAGCAACACCUUCACCGAUCCUUCUCUCAGCUUGCCGCCUGGCUCCCUUGCGCCGCUGCCGCCCCAAGCUCUCCACUGGCGCCGCGACCUCCCACAGGCCGCCUUCAGAUCUAGGCCGCCUCAACUACUCCCCUGCAUCAUUCAAGGUCAGCUGGAGGUCGUGGCACCAUCCAUCUGCCUGCGUAAGUGCCUCCUCGCCCUGGUGGUGCGACUGUUGGCGUCGAAGGACAGUUGCCGGACCGCAUCCCCUCACGACUCCACCCGGCUGAUCCGGCGGUGGCGACCGGCAUCUUCCACUUGGCGUGACGUGGUAUGGACUUGAAUCCCGGACGAGCUCCUCUAGAUAAGAUGGCCAGGAAGUUCGCAAAAUCCAGCGACCGUAGAACACAGCCAGUUGCAUACAUCUGUGAAGAACCUGCUUGGAUGGAUAUGGCCUGGGUGCCUAGGUGUACUUCACCUAACUCCAUCCACACGUCGUAUUCCAAAUCUGAGGAACUCAGGUACCCAAUUUUCCUUCAUGCCAUGAAUGUUAAAUGCCUAUAAUGCUUUGGGAGCUGGGCGGAUAUGUGUUUCAUGAUUUGUUUCUUUUUUCUGAAAGGCAGACCUUGUAAGUUAUUCUGUCUUUCAACCUGUGCGUAGCAUUUUGAUGUAAGUGGUCUGGUUCUCUCAAUCUAUGUAUAGUGCGUUGUGUUUGUACUUCAGGCUGGCAGAGUACAGAUCACUUCCAUAGUCCAAAUUACUCUGGCAUCAAUCGAAUCAUGGUUAGUCAUUCCAGUUUUAGCUUUUCGGUGCCUAAUUACUCUCUAAUAUUAUUUAUAUAUUAUCAUAUAUGACGAGUGAUAUUUCCUUACUUCUUUUGUAGGACACAAGAUUUCAUUACCCCUGUAAUAAUCUCUUAGGUGACUUUCGGACAAGUACACGCCCAGAAUUUUGGGAUUAAUAACACCGGUGAGUUAAUAUGAUAGUAUUGACAUUUUUGGUACCUGUCUAAGUUUGUGCAAGAUUAGUAUGCUUUUAGAAAUAUAUGAUAUCGCAUACAAAAUUGUUUACUCUUGUUCAGGGAAUCAGGGAUCAUAUUUAAGAUCGAACUAUGCUUUGCUCAGGUCUCUUGAUAUUUUCUAAACACAAAAAUUAAUUGCUCGGCACCGAGUACGACUGUAUAUAAUAAGGUAGGCAAGUUUCUUAUCAGUCUAUCAGUCAUUUACAAAUCUGGACAAUUUCGGCAUUCAGUUCAGUUAUGGGCAAUAGUUACCAUUUAGUUCCGUUCUGGGUUCCAUUAGUUCAAUUAUGGGCAAUAGUGGCCAUUUAGUUCAGUUCAGGUUCAGUUCUGGGUGCCAGCAAUAGUUGUUAUCUAUUUUAGUUCAAGUUUAGUUUUUGAUGCCAUUUAGUUCAGUUCAGUUAGGAGCAACAAUUGACAUUCAGUUCAAUUAACAAUUCUGCAUAUGUACUUCUGUCCAAUUCUGCAUUUGCACAAAGCGUACUGGAACACUCAUUUGGUCAUAACAUUCAAGCAAACAAAACAUUUUCCAUUACAUCUCUUUCCACACAUGUACAAGUAGUAACUGCAAUUCCUUUUCAGUCAUAAGAUCCAGUCAUAACAACAAUAUUUAGUGAUCUCAAUUUUUCAUGACAUACUAAAUUCAACUAACAUCAGUGACUUAGUUGGACGCUUUCUGCACUUUCAACAUUUUAGAAUGGUUGUUUACGAUCAGCAACUCAUUAGAUGGCGGCGGCAUAGGCGCCAUUGGCCCACUUGAACACAAACCACAAGAAGUCGACAAUCGCGUCGACGUAACCUCGUCCUCCGGUGCUACCAUUGCUUCUCCUCGUGACACCAGUGUUUUACGGUGGCGGAGCCUUGGCUGGUGGCUAUGGCCACGAGGCCUUGGAGCCGGACUUGUGCUCCUCCUCUUGGAGGACGUGGCCAGUGCGGCGGCCCUGAAGCUGGUAGUAGGACACGUCUGGCGUGCGCUAGGGCAGUGGCAUUGCAGAGGGCUAGACCAACUUUGGCUGAGACGAGCCUUGAUGGUGUGGUAAGAUGUAGCAGACCACAACCAUGGGGAUGGGCGUGCCAGACGCGUGAAUGGAAACGGCGAGUCCACGCUGAGCCCUCCUUUGGUGAGCGAACAACGACGGCGACUAUAGAGGAAUUCUAGAAAGGAGACUUUUUCUUUUCAGAGCUGGAGUGCCACUUUCCCUCUCCUUUCCAUUGGGCCAAUCCUUCUCUGUGUUUCCAUGGAAUCCACCUGCUGUUAUCGGAUGCGCAAGGAAUGGGCUAGACACAUCAAUGCCCCUCUAUAGUACUUCCUUGUACGUUGGACUAUCUUGUUCCAAUUUAUUUUAUGCUAAAUAAUGUCAAAUAAAUGCAGUAAAUGGUUGGGUGUUGAUGGGUCCUUUAUGUAUUUUUAUCCCAGCCGGUCCACAGGUGAUAAUUGUCAUGUUCUCUAUCCUAAUUCGAUGCAAGUAACAUGAGUCUUGUUUUCAAUUUCUUCCCUGCCUUGAUGCUGAUUGUCACUUAAUAUAUGUAGUUGACAGGCGCUUGGUACAACAUCUGUCCAGAAGAAUUUUUUUGCUGUGUUGGCAUGUUUGUCCCAAUUUUAUUGUAGGGAACAUAAGCACACUGAACCAAAUGUGAGCACUAUCUUAUUUUCGUAUGUAUAUUUCUAAUUGUUCUUUCGUUGUUCCCAAUUCUCCUCUUGCUGGGAUGGAAGUUCAUGUAAUCUUUACUACUUUUAGCAAUAUUACGAGUGGGAGUUCGUGGUCGGCAAUGGAGGUGGUGACACCCCUUCUUAUUUAAAAACUGGAUAUUGUAACCGUACAGAAUCAAGGAGCAUGUCAGAGUACAUAAAAAAGUAGCAUAUCAGAGUUAUUUGCGAAUAUCCAAUUCGGUUCCUGAGCUCAUAUACACCCAGUAAAUUCGAAAAAAAAUACUAGCAAAAUUCAAAAAAUUACAAAAAAAUUGUUGAUAGAUGCAUGAGUGCGUGAUGUCGACCCCAAAUUUGUUAUUUUGCUG